UACGUAGGUGGCAAGCGUUUGUCCGGAUUUAUUGGGUUUAAAGGGUGCGUAGGCGGCUUUGUAAGUCAGUGGUGAAAUAUGGCAGCUCAACUGUCAAGGUGCCAUUGAUACUGCAAAGCUUGAGUACAGAUGAGGUAGGCGGAAUUGACGGUGUAGCGGUGAAAUGCUUAGAUAUCGUCAAGAACACCUAUAGCGAAGGCAGCUUACUAGGCUGUAACUGACGCUGAGGCACGAAAGUGUGGGGAUCAAACAGG
rnacentral:rRNA from 1 species